rnacentral:lncRNA from 1 species
CACAAUAAAGGCAAUGACAGAAAUAUGAAGAGCUGCUAUACCUAACCCAGCCUGAUACAUAGGAGCUAGCAAAGCAAGGAUGGAAACACUUUGGUUCAACCCAUGUUUGAGAGAACACCAACAGGGGAGCCGAUUUCCUCUGGAGAAGAGGCACUGUGUGUAGCCAGGGAGUCUAAAGAAGCAGCUGCGCAUAAGUUCAGAUGUGCCAUGGAGGGAGAACGUGUGCCGGAAAGAGCCUUACAGAGGAUACCACCCAUUGCAUGGCAUUAUGGUCACUUGUCAGGGCAGAGACCCUACUUCCCAGGGGUUUGAAGAGCUGCCUUGGAAGGACUCUUUGUGAUACUUGAUUGAUAAGUCCGAUGGAAGCUUUGAAAUUCUACAUCAGUGAGAAGAAACACUUUGAAUGACUUGUUCACCAUUUUGGUGAGCAAGUUUUGGGUGCUCAAUAAAUACUUGGUGAAAGAAUGGUGCA